rnacentral:rRNA from 1 species
AUACGUAGGGUGCAAGCGUUAAUCGGAAUUACUGGGCGUAAAGCGUGCGCAGGCGGUUUUGUAAGACAGUGGUGAAAUCCCCGGGCUCAACCUGGGAACUGCCAUUGUGACUGCAAGGCUGGAGUGGGGCAGAGGGGGAUGGAAUUCAGCGUGUAGCAGUGAAAUGCGUAGAUAUGCGGAGGAAAACCGAUGGCGAAGGCAAGCCCCUGGGCCUGUACUGACGCUCAUGCACGAAAGCGUGGGGAGCUAACAGGAUUAGAUACCCUGGUAGUCCACGCCCUAAACGAUGUCAACUGGUUGUUGGGUCUUCAUUGACUCAGUAACGAAGCUAACGCGUGAAGUUGACCGCCUGGGGAGUACGGCCGCAAGGUUGAAACUCAAACGAAUUGACGGGG